rnacentral:rRNA from 1 species
GGAAUUUUGGACAAUGGGCGCAAGCCUGAUCCAGCCAUGCCGCGUGCGGGAAGAAGGCCUUCGGGUUGUAAACCGCUUUUGUCAGGGAAGAAAUCUUCUGGGUUAAUACCUCGGGAGGAUGACGGUACCUGAAGAAUAAGCACCGGCUAACUACGUGCCAGCAGCCGCGGUAAUACGUAGGGUGCAGGCGUUAAUCGGAAUUACUGGGCGUAAAGCGUGCGCAGGCGGCUCCUUAAGUCAGAUGUGAAAUCCCCGGGCUUAACCUGGGAACUGCGUUUGAAACUGGGGAGCUCGAGUGUGGAAGAGGGGGGUGGAAUUCCAGGUGUAGCAGUGAAAUGCGUAGAGAUCUGGAGGAACACCGAUGGCGAAGGCAGCCCCCUGGGCUAACACUGACGCUCAUGCACGAAAGCGUGGGGAGCAAAC